rnacentral:rRNA from 1 species
CCUACGGGAGGCUGCAGUGAGGAAUAUUGGUCAAUGGGCGGAAGCCUGAACCAGCCAAGUCGCGUGAGGGAAUAAGGCCCUACGGGUCGUAAACCUCUUUUGCCGGGGAGCAAGGGCGGGGACGUGUCCCGGCCCGGAGAGUACCCGGAGAGAAAGCAUCGGCUGACUCCGUGCCAGCAGCCGCGGGAAUACGGAGGAUGCGAGCGUUAUCCGGAUUGAUUGGGGUUAAAGGGUGCGUAGGCGGGCUUUUAAGGAAGCGGGAAAAAUUCGGGGCUCAACCCCGUCCGGCCGUUGAAACUGGGGCCCUUGAGUGGGCGAGAAGAAGGCGGAAUGCGUGGUGUAGCGGUGGAAUGCAUAGAUAUCACGCAGAACCCCGAUUGCGAAGGCAGCCUUCCGGCGCCCUACUGACGCUGAGGCACGAAAGUGCGGGGAUCGAACAGGAUUAGAUACCCGUGUAGUC